rnacentral:RNase_P_RNA from 2 species
AGAUCAAAGCCGCGAGGCUCGCACCGAACCAGAUGGCGCUACUUAUACGCGCCCAUCCAGCCCAGCGAGCGGGCUAAGGUCUGAGUAUUCUAAUCCCUCUUGAUCGACUCUAGAUGGGUCCGACCUUAAGCGGUCGAGCAACGCACCAGAAACACACGCACCUCUCGCUUCGCGGGUCAAAGAUCCCGAGCCCGGAGAACUCUUCGCUCUGCGGAGAGGGAGGGCGCCGGCAGAGGCUUGCGUUUGGGAACCGUUGCAGGGAUCGGGCGGUGUUUUCUCAGGCUCGUCGUCUUUGUCUCCUUUGCGUUCUCUAUCGUGUUCAACCAGUGCUCCGGUCACGCGCGACGGAGCGCCCAGGGGGCUCACCGUUGGCUCGGCCCCUGGUCGACUAUCACCCGUCUCUGACGGUGGUGUCAGUGGUUUGUAGAAGCAAUGGGAGGCUCGGAGCUUCGUGCUCCGUGACCACAAUGCAUGAAAUUUCCGCCAAGCGCUGAAAAUUCAGGCCGUGGUAUCCGUCAGGAUCCGAGGUUGGGACUGUAAGCAGAACCACCAACCCCCGCUCUAAUGAACAGACGAGGAGAACAAGUACCGGAGAUAUCGCACAUGGCUACGCACCGUCCUUGAGUGCACUUUGCGGCUCGCGAUUCCAAGCCCUACCUCGGACUCUUCGGGGCCUGGGGGAUGGGCUUCGCGAAACUCGAUUCAGACUACUCUGAUCU